rnacentral:rRNA from 1 species
AACGAACGCUGACGGCAUGCCUAACACAUGCAAGUCGAACGAGACCUUCGGGUCUAGUGGCGCACGGGUGCGUAACGCGUGGGAAUCUGCCCUUGGGUUCGGAAUAACAGCGAGAAAUUGCUGCUAAUACCGGAUGAUGACGUAAGUCCAAAGAUUUAUCGCCCAAGGAUGAGCCCGCGUAGGAUUAGCUAGUUGGUGAGGUAAAGGCUCACCAAGGCGACGAUCCUUAGCUGGUCUGAGAGGAUGAUCAGCCACACUGGGACUGAGACACGGCCCAGACUCCUACGGGAGGCAGCAGUGGGGAAUAUUGGACAAUGGGCGGAAAGGACCUGAUCCAGCAAUGCCGCGUGAGUGAUGAAGGCCUUAGGGUUGUAAAGCUCUUUUACCCGGGAUGAUAAUGACAGU